rnacentral:sRNA from 1 species
GCCAGGUGUGGUGCUGCAUGCCUGUAAUCCCAGCUGCUCAGGAGGCUAAGACAGGAGGAUCACAAGUUCAAAGCCAUCCUCAGCAAAAGCAAGGUGCUAAGCAACUCAGUGAGACCCUGCUUCU